GUGCUUGCCUCAGCAGCACAUAUACUAAGGUUGGAGCAAUAGAGAGAAGAUUAGCAUAGCCCCUAAGCUAGAAUGACACACAAAUCUGUGAAGUGUUCCAUAUUAUU